rnacentral:misc_RNA from 1 species
AGGGUUUUCAGUCGCGCUACUCGAAUUGGGAAUUCCAAAUUGAAUCCCUUUCGAGCCAUGCUGGUUGUUAUUGCCAUUUGUAGUGCCAUUCGAAGAUGGAACUGUGCUAUUUCCAUCCUUCAUUUCAAUCCCACUAUGAGAUGCAUCACUGAUCCACAGCGAGGAUGGAUCAUUCUCACCCUGGUCAGGGUUCGUUCCCAUCGGCCACGAACCCACAUCCAGAUUAUUGAAAUUAAACAAAACCCUAACCUUAUUCAUAAGAUCCGAGCUCUGAUAAAUCAUCUCAGAUGAACCCAGCUCAACAACUCCAUUCGCUG